rnacentral:lncRNA from 1 species
UUCUCUCUCUUUCUCACCCUUCACUCUCACUCCUCACAUUUUCCUCUCACCGCUCACUCUCACUCCUCACUCUUCACCUUUACCUCUCACUCCUCAUUAUUCACAUUUCCCUCUCACCCCUCAAUUCUCACUCUUCACCUUUCUCUCUCUUUCUCACCCUUCACUCUCACUCCUCACAUUUUCCUCUCACCGCUCACUCACACUCCUCACUCUUCACCUUUACCUCUCACUCCUCAUUCUUCACAUUUCCCUCUCACCCCUCAAUUCUCACUCUUCACCUUUCUCUCUCUUUCUCACCCUUCACUCUUACUCCUCACCUUUUCCUCUCACCGCUCACUCUCACUCCUCACUCUUCACCUUUACCUCUCACUCUUCACAUUUCCCUCUCACCCCUCAAUUCUUACUCUUCACAUUUCCCUCUCACUCCUCAUUCUUACCUUCACUCCUCACCUUUCACUCUUAUCCACAAUCUCACUCUUAACCUUUCCCUCUUACUCCACAUUCACAACCCUCACUUCUCACCUUUCCCUCUCAGUUCUCACCCCUCAUUCUCACUCCUCACUUUUUAACUUUUUCUUCUCACCCUUCACUUCUCACUUUUCCCUCUCACUCCUCACUAUUUACCUUUACCUCUCACUUCUAACUUUUCUCUCUCACUCCUCACCCCUCACUUUCGCACCUACUCUCACCACUACUCUCACUCUCCACUUUUUCCUCUCACUCCUCACCCCUCAUUUUCACACCUACUCUCACCACCACUCUCACUCCUCACUUUUCCCUCUCACUUUUCACUCACAACCCUCACUUCUCACCUUUCCCUUUUAGUCCUCACCCUCAUUACUCACUAUUGCUCCAUAUUCUCGUCUUUCACCCCUGACUCCUCACCUUUCAUUCUCACUCCCACUCUCUCUACUCACUCUUCACCUUUCCCUCUCACCCCUUACUCUCACCACUACUCUCACUCCUCACUCUUUACCUUUCCCUCUCACCCCUCACUCUUCACCUACCCCUUACUCUUACUUCUUACUCCUCAUUCUUCACCUUUCCCUCUCACUCCUCGCAUCUUACUCUUCACCUUUCC